AUUGAACGCUGGCGGCAGGCCUAACACAUGCAAGUCGAAUGGUAACAGGAAACAGCUUGCUGUUUCGCUGACGAGUGGCGGGCGGGUGAGUAAUGUCUGGGAAACUGUCUGAUGGAGGGGGAUAACUACUGGAAACGGUAGCUAAUACCGCAUAACGUCGCAAGACCAAAGAGGGGGACCUUCUGGCCUCUUGCCAUCAGGUGUGCGCAGAUGGGAUUAGCUAGUAGGUGGGGUAACGGCUCACCUAGGCGACGAUCCCUAGCUGGUCUGAGAGGAUGACCAGCCACACUGGAACUGAGACACGGUCCAGACUCCUACGGGAGGCAGCAGUGGGGAAUAUUGCGCAAUGGGCGCAAGCCUGAUGCAGCCAUGCCGCGUGUAUGAAGAAGGCCUUCGGGUUGUAAAGUACUUUCAGCGGGGAGGAAGGGAGUAAAGUUAAUACCUUUGCUCAUUGACGUUACCCGCAGAAGAAGCACCGGCUAACUCCGUG
rnacentral:rRNA from 1 species